UACGUAGGAGGCAAGCGUUGUCCGGAGUUACUGGGCGUAAAGCGCACGCAGGCGGUCGCAUCAGUCUGGGGUGACAGUUCCCGGCUUAACCGGAAAAGGACUCUGGAAACUGUGCGACUUGAGGGCUUCAGAGGGUCGCGGAAUUCCCGGUGUAGAGGUGAAAUUCGUAGAUAUCGGGAGGAACACCAGUGGCGAAGGCGGCGACCUGGACGGACACUGACGCUGAGACGCGAAAGCGUGGGGAGCAAACAGGGAUUAAGAAACC
rnacentral:rRNA from 1 species